AGCUUGCUGGGUGGAUGAGUGGCGAACGGGUGAGUAACACGUGAGUAACCUGCCCUCUUCUUUGGGAUAACGCCCGGAAACGGGUGCUAAUACUGGAUAUUCACUGAUCUUCGCAUGGGGGUUGGUGGAAAGGUUUUUUCUGGUGGGGGAUGGGCUCGCGGCCUAUCAGCUUGUUGGUGGGGUGAUGGCCUACCAAGGCUUUGACGGGUAGCCGGCCUGAGAGGGUGACCGGUCGCAUUGGGACUGAGAUACGGCCCAGACUCCUACGGGAGGCAGCAGUGGGGAAUAUUGCACAAUGGGCGAAAGCCUGAUGCAGCGACGCCGCGUGAGGGAUGGAGGCCUUCGGGUUGUAAACCUCUUUCGCUCAUGGUCAAGCCGCAACUUAGGGUUGUGGUGAGGGUAGUGGGUAAAGAAGCGCCGGCUAACUACGUGCCAGCAGCCGCGGUAAUACGUAGGGCGCGAGCGUUGUCCGGAAUUAUUGGGCGUAAAGGGCUUGUAGGCGGUUGGUCGCGUCUGCCGUGAAAUCCUCUGGCUUAACUGGGGGCGUGCGGUGGGUACGGGCUGACUUGAGUGCGGUAGGGGAGACUGGAACUCCUGGUGUAGCGGUGGAAUGCGCAGAUAUCAGGAAGA
rnacentral:rRNA from 1 species